rnacentral:lncRNA from 1 species
UCCCAUCUAAGGUUUACUCCUCCUAUCAUGCUACUGAUCACAAACUCCUGAGAAUCUAACUUCACCAGUGCGGACCACAGAUGGGCAUCAUUAGCAUCACUUAAGAGCAUGUCAGAAACCUGGUAUCUAAGGCCCCAUCCACAGCUAGCAAAUCAGAAUCUCCACUUGAUCAAGUUAGAGAUAAUAUUAGGCACCUCUAGAACUAUGAGUGGCCAAAUUCCAUUACCUGUGAUGUUAACCCUUUGCUGCCCAGCUAUUUCCCCUCAAACAAUAAGUCACUCUAGCCUCCAAGAUUUUUAAAACAGACAAGUGGGGCCAGUGCUGUAGUAUAGCGAGUAAAGCAGUCACCUGCAGUGUUGGCAUCUCAUAUGGGCGACAGUUCGUGACCUGGCUGCUCCACUUCUGAUACAGCUCUCUGCUAUGGCCUGAGAAAGCAGUAGAUGAUGACCCAAGUCCUUGGGCCCCUGCACCAGUGUGGGAGACCCAGAAGAAGCUCCUGGCUUCAGAUCGGCAUAGCUCCGGCCAUUGUGGCCAACUGGGAAGUGAAUCAGCGGAUGGAAGACCUCUCUCUCUCUCUCUCUCUCUCUCUCUCUGCCUCUCCGUAACUCUGCCUUUCAAAUAAAAUAAAUAAAUAAUCAGAUAAGAAAAAAAAAGGAGGGCAGUAAAUGAUGAUACUUUGAUGCUAUCAUUCCAGUUACAGUCAAAUUCUCAUUCCUGUACAUAACCCUCAAACCAAUUCAAACAAGUUUAUAUCCUCAGUGAAAUUACCAAGGUGAUCCAUAUAGGCACUCCCUUUCAAAAACAAAAAAACUAUCUGUGAUGAUCAUCUUGACCACACCCUUAAAAACAAUUCCUAACCAGUUUUUUUUUUCUUCUACGACUAUUUCUGUCUCUUACAGGUCUUCUAGAUCUCUCCUCAGCUCACCUUUGUGGCCUUAUCUCUCAGAUCUCCAAUCAAUCCAAAGGUGGUGCUUGCUGGUCCUUGAACCUGAUCUCCAGGAGUUCCUCUUUCCCCAAAACUCUCUCCCAUGGCUAGUUUUUAUUCAUUCGUGAAAGCUCAGUUUAGCUCUUCCUUCCUCCCAGGAGGGACCUUGUCCAUCCUUCCACAGCUGGAUCCUGUGCCGUCUUGGACAUUUCCACAGCAUCUUACGGAUAAUUCCUCACAAUGUGGUUUCUUCACCCUUUAUCUUCUGGCGCUAAUGCCACUAGCAGGCCUGUAACUUUGACCAUAAAAGAAAGUUUCUUUUCUUUCUAAAUAAGUUUCCCCUUCGUUGUCAUUUUAUUUAUAAAAUAGGCAGCUCCCAAGCUUGUUCUGCCCAACCCCACCUCCAAAUCACUUUACAAUGUAAUUGCUCUCUUCUUACUCCCCACAGAAAAUGUUCCAGAUGUUAACAUAUGAAUUAUACAAAAUAAAACAGAAAAAAUAACAAAAAUUAUACUGAAG